rnacentral:lncRNA from 1 species
AAUGCUUCACGGAGAAGAGGCAUGAAUGGUGGAGAAGAGGAUGAAUCAUUUUGCAUAAAUAGCUGGUGCUGUGGCAGCCAAGGAGGAGAAGGGUGAAAGGCCAAGGGGGAGCCCGGAUGUGGUCAGAAGGAAGGAUAAGUAAAAGCCAAGGAUGAAUGACGCGGUGUGCCUAUGAAACUGGUGGAGUGUAGGAUGUAAGUGUGCUUAGGGAUAGUGUGGGGGUUGUGUUUGGAUGCAAGGGCACUGUAUGUAUCCUUGCAGUUCAGACAAUGGAGCCGAUGCCAGAAGCCUGUCACAUACGUCAAUCUUGGAACUGCUGCCAGUUUUCUGAGUACAGCUUGUCCACGUGAACAUUACGUGAGACUGCAGUUGGAAGCAUGCAGAACGAGCUGCCUUUGAGUCAUACAUGGACAGGGGGAAGAGAUCACCAAUGACAAUUUUGAUCAGUAUUGAAAAAAGAAAGCUUCGUACUUUGUAAACUGAACUUUUGUUGUGAUGAAGAGGCAGCAGCAUCAAUUUCUGCCCACUAGAAGUGUCUUGCAUGUGGGCAUUGACACCACCAUUUCUCCUCAAAGGACAUGAAGAAAUUCCAGUGUUACCUCUGAGACAGUUAUGCCAUCAUGCUCCUCUAUUGCACCACAGUGUGUCGCAAAGAGCACCUUACAAUGCAGAGCUACCCACUCUGGGAAGGGAAAGACUUGGGAGUGGCAGAUUCCUUACUGUACACAUGAUGUCAUUUCAGAAAGGAGUUGAAAGAAGAGGCAACAGUGCUGACAUCAGAAGGAGCAGACGUCCUGUGCAGCAUCAGUCAUUGCUGCUGCGGAUGGCAUGGGGCUGCACGCAGGCGCCUGCGGCUGUGAGGCAGAGGAGGGAGCUGCAGCCGCUGCCAGCAGCCGGCUCUGGUGUCAGACUGUGCAAAGUGGGAAUCAAUGGCACUGCUACAGACAGAAUUCUCAUUCGUGUCUUGCUUGAAGAGAAAAAGCCCUGCAGAUGUGGGGACAGGGACAAAAGUAGCCAGUAUUUCCUCUCUUCUCUUUCUACAUGCUAAUCAGCCACACAAAUGGGACACUGGCUAAUCUCUCUGGUUCCUGAAUUAAAAGAAGAUGCUCCUCUUCCAAGUAACGAAUGAAUCAUCCCUUUUAGUGCAUAGCAUGCAUGACUGCAUCGUUAAAAGCAGUCUUAAUCACUCACUGAGAAAAACGAUAUCAAUCUUUUCUCCCCUUUAGAGAUGUUGUUAACUGUGAGCCUCAGGAGCUCUGACUCACAGCCUGUGUGCUGCAGCAAGCCCAGAACGACUACGACUACACUAAAUUUUUAGCAAGUGAUUGGAGCCCCCUGGGUCUUAUCCCUUUUGUCUUCCUAAUAUGGCCAUAAUUGAGGAAAAGUGUAGACUUCUUGGUUUUGUACCUUGCUGGAAGUCUCUGGUCAGGUAGAUUUAGACUGGACUUUACACUGAAGUUCAAAGAAGAGAAGGAUUUUUGGUAGGCAAUUGAGUCCUGGCAGAGAACAGGGUUAAAUAGUUCCUGAGCUGAUAGAACCCUGCUCUCCAUUUUGCCCUCAGUUCUGCUUGUCUGACAGACAAGCUGCACACAUAGCACUGCAUCCUGCUUUACAAGCAUCAGAUUGUCAAUGGGACAGUAGGGUGAGGCGAAAGAAGUAAUACGAGUACAUUUAAAAGUGUUUGACAGUUUCCUGGAAAGAGGCUGAAUGUGUCUGAUGUGAGAAACACAUUUACUUGUUAAUGUUGAGGAACUGCCAGUGGCAGAGCAAACAAAAUGAUCAGAUAAGAAGUUUUCAGCCUGAUGGGGAAAAAACGUUACCCGCUGUUCUUUCUGAUAUAGUUGGGUGCACUGAUAGAAAUAUUUGUGUAUCCAUCCCAUAAAAAAUAGUAUAAAAUAUUGUUACCAGUGACAAAUGGUCAAGCUUUCAGUUGUUGGGGGAUGCAACAAUUAAGAUUGCCCACACCAUCUUAAAUCAACCCUUCUGUGUCUGUAUGUGCAUUACAGGCAUGAGAGCGUGAUGUAGUUGAGUUAUCUUAUUGCAUCCAG